GACGUCAUGGAGGGGUGGUGAUUGUAGGUAAAAGUAAAAAAAAAUGAUGAAAUGAGUAUUUUGAGUUGAUUUCCUAAUUUGAUGGACUAGUACGAGAUGUUGCAUGCUUCACUGGUGGUACGUAAUUAUUGCUAUAGUCUUGAACUUUAGAUGUAGAAUGUGAUGGUAAGAAUAGUAGCUUAAGAUUUAUGAUGUAUGUUUUGUGGGAAUGAAUCAGUAGGCUUGAUGUGAUUUGUGAAAGAGCCUAGGUUGAUAAUUGACGAAAAGUUUAAGUGGUGAUUGUAAGUUAUAUGGGUAUAUGAGGACUAG
rnacentral:lncRNA from 1 species